AGUGAACGCUGGCGGUAGGCCUAACACAUGCAAGUCGAACGGCAGCACAGUAAGAGCUUGCUCUUACGGGUGGCGAGUGGCGGACGGGUGAGGAAUACAUCGGAAUCUACUUUUUCGUGGGGGAUAACGUAGGGAAACUUACGCUAAUACCGCAUACGACCUACGGGUGAAAGUAGGGGAUCUUCGGACCUUGCGCGAUUGAAUGAGCCGAUGUCGGAUUAGCUGGUUGGCGGGGUAAAGGCCCACCAAGGCGACGAUCCGUAGCUGGUCUGAGAGGAUGAUCAGCCACACUGGAACUGAGACACGGUCCAGACUCCUACGGGAGGCAGCAGUGGGGAAUAUUGGACAAUGGGCGCAAGCCUGAUCCAGCCAUACCGCGUGGGUGAAGAAGGCCUUCGGGUUGUAAAGCCCUUUUGUUGGGAAAGAAAAGCAGCAGGUUAAUACCCCGCUGUUCUGACGGUACCCAAAGAAUAAGCACCGGCUAACUUCGUG
rnacentral:rRNA from 1 species